UGUCAGACUGCAUCAUCUGCAGGCUGAACCACUCAGGCGGAUGUUUCUGCAGGCUGGACCAAUCGGGCUCUCGCAGGUGGGACUAGGACUGUGUGUGCAUUUGCUUUGGGACUUGCUGUCAUUCGCGGGUAUUUCGCUUCCAUUGGGACUUACUUCAUGGAUGUAUAUUUCAUUUGCGUUGGGGACUGGAUGUAUUUCACUUUGGAAGUGGUUGGAUUUAUAUGGAUGAUUCAAAUCCAUCUAAAGCAGGCUGGGCACAUACCACCCAAUCUAGGGAAUGUUCACCUUCUGCCAUCUGGGUCCGUCCUUGCAGGGUUGAAAUGGAGGCACCAGUGCUGGAGGUACCAAGGCACAUGGCAUCCUGGUAAGCCUCACUAAAAGGGGGCUCCAGAGCUUGAUAGGGGACAUACUGAUGGAGAUACUGCAUAGAAGAAUUAAUUCAAUCAAAGCCUCUCUUCAGUGUGCCUGGACAAUAAUACAAGGAAUAAUAAUUUAAGGAAUAAUAUAAGGAAUUUCAGACCUUGGCUUCAAGUCCAUAAGAGAUCACUCUAAAAUGGCUAAAAUAAACAGCAAAUUAGUCCGUAAAAUAAGACUUUCUUUUGAAGGAUAUAAUUAAAUACCAUAAUGAAAAAUCAACAGUUAUUGAGGAGACUCUGAAUGAAUUUGAUGGAAGAUUUAAUAAGGAAGAAAUUCAGGCUGAGUUCCUGGAUGCUGGAAAAGAUAGAUGACCAGGGAACUAGGGAGAGGCAGAACAAUCUAAGCCCAGGGAACUAGGGAGAGGCAGAACAAUCUAAGCCCAUAAUCAAGUAAAUUGCAUGCACCUAACCAGCCACUUACACCAAUUGGAGUGGCCCCAAACAUUUGCCACUAAAAAAACAAAACAAAGUAGAAGUCCAUGUCUUAUGCAGACCAUCCUUUUACUCUGUCUCAUAUUGCUUAUUGAGAAGUGACUUAUGCCCAUCCUACAAGGCAUUCUCUGAUCCAGCCCUGUUGAAAAUGUUACAUAUUUGCAAGAACAAUUGCACGAGUCUUAUGCAUUCCAUGCACCUAAACCUUAUCUGUGGCUCUAACAGAAUUUACUGGGGAGACAGAUUUGUAUCCCAAAGGCUGCCUUGUCUAUGGAAAAAGCUUCCCAUCUUCAUAAAACAAAGCCUGUCCCUCAAUCUCUUCAAAAAGAAUUUGGAUAACUGGAUGGGGAACCGUAAAUAUCUGGGGAAAAAUAUAUAAUAUUGUCAUCAUGGUAUUGGCUAGGCUUCUAAAGGCUUUUGUGAAAAAAUGCUCUACCAAGAUCUAUAAUAGUUAAUUUCAUUUCAAGUAUUGAAAAGUAAGUAUUGAAAAGGAUCUUGAUCUUAAAAACAGCUUGUUCUAAUGCUCUGCGAAAAUGGGAAGCAAUAUUAUUAGAUUUGAUAAUGAUUGUUUGUCUAUGGUUAUGGAAAAGUGUAAACAAUGCAUUCUUUCUAUUAAAGAAUCAAACAUGA